rnacentral:snRNA from 1 species
AGAUGUGAGAGUGAUCUGGAUGUGAUGUCUGUCACCCCAUCGAUCACCACACAGUUGAUUCGGCUGAUCUGGCUGGCUAGGCGGAUGUCCCCUUCUUCCCUCACUGCUCCAUUUGCGUCCCUCCCGAAGCUGCAUGUUUGCUGGAAAAGGAUUACCUUCCCUGAUAGAGAAGGACCAUUCUUCAGUAAAGGGUAUAUGAAUAGCUUGUGCUCCCCUGCUAGAACCUCCAAAGAAGCUCUCAAAAUAAAGGUAGGGCCAUGUUCCCUCUGAAUGGUCUAGGGAAGAAUCUGUUCCAUGCUUCUUUCUUAGCUUCUUAUGGUUGCCAGCAAUCCUUGGCA